AUAUCAAUAAGCGGAGGAAAAGAAACUAACAAGGAUUCCCCUAGUAACGGCGAGUGAAGCGGGAAGAGCACAAAUUUAAAAUCUACCUGGUUUUCAGGUCGAGUUGUAAUUUGAAGAUACGUUUUUGAUGUUCCUGGUUGGACUAAAUUCUUUGGGAUAAGGUAUCAUAGAGGGUGAGAAUCCCGUGUAUACCAACCACAGGGAUGUUAUUUAAUAACGUUUCUAAGAGUCGAGUUGUUUGGGAAUGCAGCUCUAAAUGGGUGGUAAAUUUCACCUAAUGCUAAAUAUAAGCGAGAGACCGAUAGCGAACAAGUACAGUGAUGGAAAGAUGAAAAGAACUUUGAAAAGAGAGUUAAAUAGUACGUGAAAUUGUUGAAAGGGAAACGAUUGAAGUCAGUCAUGCCAGCGGGAAUCAACUUAGGGGAAACUCUGAGUGCACUUCUUCGUUUGGCAGGUUAGCGUCGAUUUUGGAUGUCAUAAAAUAAUUGGGGGAAGGUAGCUCCUUCGGGAGUGUUAUAGCCCUUGGUAGAUGUGAUGUCUGGGAUCGAGGAUUGCAACGGAUACCCUUCGGGGCUAGCCGCCUGAUCUCUAAUUGGUGUUGGGUUAUGGACAGCAUGCUGACCGUGAUCUAAUUACUGGUUAAAAGGUUAGAGUGUGCAUAAAUUCGUUAAGGACGCUGACGUAAUGGCUUUAAACGACCCGUCUUGAAACACGGACCAAGGAGUCUAACAUGUAUGCAAGUGUUAGGGUAUUAAACCCAGACGCGAAAUGAAAGUGAGUGUAGGUGGGAUCCUUUAUUGGAGCACCAUCGACCGAUCUUGAGAUUUAUCGAUAGAAUUGAGUUAGAGCAUACCUGUUGGGACCCGAAAGAUGGUGAACUAUGCCUGAAUAGAGUGAAGCCAGAGGAAACUCUGGUGGGGGCUCGUAGCGGUUCUGACGUGCAAAUCGAUCGUCAAAUUUGGGUAUAGGGGCGAAAGACUAAUCGAACCAUCUAGUAGCUGGUUCCUGCCGAAGUUUCCCUCAGGAUAGCAGAAACUCAUUAACAGUUUUAUGAGGUAAAGCGAAUGAUUAGAGGCCUUAGGGUUGAAACAGCCUUAACCUAUUCUCAAACUUUAAAUAUGUAAGAAGCUAACAGGUUACUUAAUUGAACCUGGGCAAUCGAAUGAGAGUUUCUAGUGGGCCAUUUUUGGUAAGCAGAACUGGCGAUGCGGGAUGAACCGAACGUAAGGUUAAGGUGCCCAAAUUCACGCUCAUUUAGACACCACAAAAGGUGUUAGUUCAUCUAGACAGCAGGACGGUGGCCAUGGAAGUCGGAAUCCGCUAAGGAGUGUGUAACAACUCACCUGCCGAAUGAACUAGCCCUGAAAAUGGAUGGCGCUCAAGCGUGAUACCUAUACCUUACCGUCAGGGUUAAAUUGAAGCUCUGACGAGUAGGCAGGUGUGAAGGUCGUGAAGAAGUCAUGGGUGUAAACCUUGAUGGAACGGCCUUUAGUGCAGAUCUUGGUGAUAGUAGCAAAUAUUCAAAUGAGAACUUUGAAGACUGAAGUGGAGAAAGGUUCCAUGUGAACAGUGAUUGGACAUGGGUUAGUCGAUCCUAAGAGAUAGGGGAAUUCCGUUUUAAAGGGGACUAUUUUUAGUCACACCUAUCGAAAGGGAAGCAGGUUAAUAUUCCUGCACCUGAAUGCGGAUAAUUAAUACGGUAACGUUAACUGAACUUGGUUACGUCUGUGAGGGCUUCGGGAAGAGUUAUCUUUUCUUUUUAACUAUCUUUUACACCUUGGAAUUUCGGAUUAACCGGAGAUAAGGUAUAAAGGUAGGAAGAGCUUGACACUUAAGUCAGGUCCGAUGCGUUCUCAAGGACCCUUGAAAAACCAAGGGAAAGAUUUAUUUUCGCGUCAGGUCGUACUCAUAACCGC
rnacentral:rRNA from 1 species